AGAGAAAGAAUAUGAUCAGAGCCCUGUACUCCUCAAUGAGGAUGGCAAUGAUGAAGAACAUGAUACAGUGGCACAGUCAGGAGCUGCUACAGAAACAAGUGAACAAUGAAACUAUACACUAAGGUAUGGAACAAAAGAGUGUAGAGUGUACUCCCAGGGAGGGAGGAAGGGGCUUACUUUCUCUCCUCUAUCAGUCACAACAACACUAGCCAAGAAGAUGAAGAAGCCAUUAUUAUAACCACACAUACUUUUCUUCACAUAUCCCAAGGAUGUUGGGCCUUGAUCAAUUGUCCAACAGUGGCAGUUAUGCAGUGCUGGGGCUCAAACUCUGACCUUCUGAUCAACAACCCAUACCAUUAACCCUUAACCACUAUAGCCACCACUGCCCCCGAGGGUCAUGCAUGUGGAAGUGAGCAGAUAGCUCUGACCUCCGAGUGUGUUACACCACAACCCUGAUGCUACAUGAGCAGGAGAAGCUUUUGUCAGAGAGGAAACCUGACUGAGGACAGGAAUAGUCUAAAGCCUAGUUCACACUACAGGAUUUUAAGCCCGAUUUGCAAAUUAACGAGCUGGCCGACAGAUCGGUCUGUGAUCGUGGGAAAAUCAGCGGGUGAUCAGCGCUCGGCAAUCUUUAUGUGUGAACUACUCUACGACGCAACAAAGAGGCUCACUGACGUGUCGCUGACAAAAUCCAGAUAUCUGGCAUGUUAAAUAUCUGGGACGGUCGGCCGACUCGACAUCACAUGGUGUCAACUGUAGCUACGACCUCCAGCCAAUGAGAGAGCAAGUCAACAGAGUUGAGAGUUGUUGUCAGAUGGUGUGGUGUGCGACGCCCUCUUGUGGAUCAUUUAGUGUGAACACCACAAGGACAAAAAGACAUACAGUGAAGUCAUGUAGUCUGAACAGCAAAGCGAUCUGCUGACGGUUAAAGUCUUGUAGUGUGAACUAGCCUUAAGACUAAAUUAGAGAGAAAAUCUAUACUCAAAAAUGUUAGCAUUUCUGUUUAGAAAUAUUAUCUUACAUGUAUCUUACAUAUAUAAUAACAAUCUUUUAUCUUUUUUCCCCUCUGCAUAAAGAAUCCAUUAAUAAUAAUUAAUAAAACAACAGUCACAACUCAAAAUCUUUUAAAGAAUCUGGAUAUAUUUUUAAAGAAUUUAAGCACUGAAAGAGUUUUAAUAAGGAAGUGGAUUUCAGUGGUUGGCGUGUGAAAGGGUCAGUCAUUCAUGCUUUCAUGAGUUUCUGUGUUUAUAUGAGAUCAGCAUCAGUCACACAUCUGAAGGCCAUUUCACUGAUUUAUUUGUAAGACUGAACUGCUGCACUUCAGCUGAACUCGCUUCAAGUUGCUGCAGUUUUUAUACUGAACAAUGUUCCAUUUACAUGUCUGUCUUUUCUUGCCUCUGCAACUAUACUGUGGUCAGCAUGUCUGAUCUAAUUUAGAACUGUUUGGGUUUCAUUCUGAUGUCCAUUCUAUAGAAUAUCUUAAACAAGCAAACAAAAAGUAUCUGAUAGACGAAGAACAAAGACAUGGUGAUAAUGAGGUUAGACUCUAGAGCUACACAUGAGCAACAGCUGUCAUUAAUCUUUAAUUAUUUGAUAUAGUUAGAUACUGCAGUCUGUUUAUUACCCCUCAGUCUGUGUGUGUGGUCUCUUCUUUUUCACUCUGGAAAUCAGAAAGGUCUGUGUGAUAUUUGACGUGUUUCUUGGGAGUCCCAUCACAUGGAGGCUCUUAUUGAUGCUGAGGUUCUCCACAUGGAGUCUGGAUAUACGCGAGUGCUAUAAGAACCACUUAGUAACCAUGGAGAUGACUUUGGGGAUCAGUUAAUAACUUCAACACCACAAGACUUCAUGUUAUAAUUAGAAUGAAGCUCCAGGCUCCUGCUCUCUCUCAUCUACAUGAGCAUCAGUAUUCACACUUUGCUCGGAAUGCUGGAGUGUUUUGUUUACACCAGACGCACAAACGCACUCCUGAAAAUCAGACUUUAGUCCAGGCGUCACUGCUGCAUGCGGCUAAUAACCUGCAAAUAGAAAUCCGCUGCACCAAGCCGGCGAGGAGCCGGAGCCGAGGUCUGCGUCAUCAAUUAGAGCCAAGAUUCUGCAUUCUGCUCUCAUUCUCCUCCAACAUCCUGACCAACACUUCUGCUCAUUAACACACACUCUCCUUAAUGCAGGAGCUCAUCUCCCUGAUUCCUGGCCUUCUGAAGAUUAAAUCAACAAACACACACACACCAGAACACUGAGUUCUAACCUUCAGCAGAAUCACUGUCAGGUUCAGCCAAAGGGUUUGUGUGUGUGUGUGUGGGUGUGUGUGUGUGUGUGGGUGUGUGUGUGUGUGUGUGUGUGUGUGUGUGGGUGUGUGUGUGGGUGUGUGUGGGUGUGUGUGUGGGUGUGUGUGUGGGUGUGUGUGGGUGUAUAUGUGUGUGUAUGUGUGUGUGUGUGUGUUGAAGGAGUCUCCAGUGUCAGUGCUGUGUAUUGGUGUGUGGGUGUGUGUGUGUUUGAUGAUUAUGAUGUGUGUAAGGAGUCUCCAGUGUCGAUCUCUGUGUGUGUGUGUGUGUGUGUGUGUGAGUGUGUGUCUGUGUGAGUGUGUGUCUGUGUGAGUGUGUGUGUGUAUGUGUGUGUGUGUGUGUGUGUGUGUGUGUGGUGAAGGAGUCUCCAGUAUCAUCUGUCAGAGGAGUUUACACUUCUUUGUGUUUCUCAGUAACAUGAGCAGCUGAGAUUUUUUCUCUUAUUAACUUGAAGAGAGAGAAUAAAGAGAGACUGCUGAGGGAAUGAGUGUUUAUAGCUGAAGAGAGAGAGAAUAAAGAGAGACUGCUGAGGGGAUGAGUGUUUAUAGCUGAAGAGAGAGAGAAUAAAGAGAGACUGCUGAGGGGAUGAGUGUUUAUAGCUGAAGAAAAAGAGAAUAAAGAGAGACUGC